AAUACUAACUGUGAAAGAAACCCUCUCUUGUGCACAAGACAAUAGCACAACCCUCUGCCAUAACAGCGACCAGCAACAAUCCAACAAUCGACGACAACUAGGGAGAACGGCGACAGCCCAGGUGACGGCGGCGACGACGGAUCCUUCCCUGCAUACGGGCAAACCCUAAUCUGCUUGUGGUCCAACCCAUCUCCGGCCUAAAGCUCCGGCGUCUUCGCACCUAAUUCUCAAUCCGACCGUUCGAUCGCCGCCCUCCACCCAUCUCCGGCGUAAAGCUCUUCUCGCUGCCCUGUACCUGCUUCUCUAUCUUCAUCAUAGUGAUAGCCACAAGACUUUGGCACUGUAUCAUCCAACUGUUUUGGGUGCCCAUAAUACAAUGGGGCAAGAAGCAUGGUAUUCUGCAAAUGCUUUGGCCAAGCGCUUUAGAUACGAGAGUGCAAGCAAUUUGCCUAUAUAUCCACAAAGGCCAGGAGAGAAGGAUUGUGUCCACUAUAUGCAAACAAGAACCUGUAAAUUUGGAGAUAGCUGCAAAUUUGACCAUGCUAUUUGGGUUCUUGAAGGUGGAAUCCCAGAUUGGAAAGAGUUGGCUCCUGGCCAGGUGUCUCUAUUCCAUCUGAGUUCUUCUCCCUUUCAAAGAUUUGGUUUUGCUUCUUUUGCGUCCCCCGAGACUUCUGAAAAAGAACAUGGGAGUAAUUUAGAGAAUAAUGGAGAUGCUAAAGUCUCCAGUCAAGCCGCCUCUGAGCAGAGUGAUGUUGUUGAUCAGACAAAAGAAUCAGAUUCCGAUGAGGAUUUGAGUGUAGAUGAUCUAGUGAAACUUGUGGCUGAGAAGGAAGAGCUUUUGAAGCAGAAGCAUAAAGAGAUUGAGAAAAUGCAAGAUAAAGUCCUCAGAAGCUAUGCGGAAAUGGAGAAUCUCAUGGACAAGACACGACGUGAAUCAGAGAACUCAAAAAAAUUUGAAAAAAUUGCGAUGAUUGAUUGUUUGGUUUUUAUUUAUUUUUGCUGUUUGUAUCAUAUAAACAGGCAGAAUGAGCAGCUUUCCAAGUAUGGGGACACAAAAUCAGCUCGAAACAUCAUGCUUAUAGAACUUAAAAAGUUAAUUGAAGCGAACCCUUUGUUUCGUGAUAAACUUACAUUCCCAGCCUUCAAAAGUUCGCGUCUAAGGACUUUAAUAAAUCAGAGUCUAAACUGGCAGCAUAAACUUUGCAAGAAUCCUCGUCCAAACCCUGAUAUAAAAACACUUUUUACGGAUCAUUCUUGCAAUCCAACUACUAAUGGAUCUCGUCCUCCUCCAACAAACAACCUUGUGGGGCCGAUUCCCAAGGCUGGUGCAUUUCCUCCUAUUGGUGCCCAUGGUCCAUUUCAGCCGGUUGAGUCCCCAUCUCCUAGUACUAUUGCUGGUUGGAUGUCAAAUUCUAAUUCAUCUUUGUCUCAUCCUGUUGUGGCAGCACCACCUCCUGGUUUAGUCCAGCAAUCUAGUGCAGCUGCAUUUUUGAAACACCCAAGGACUCCUACAGGUGUUACGGGGAUGGAUUAUCAAUCAGCUGACUCUGAGCACUUGAUUAGGCGCAUUCGUACUGGACAGUCUGAUAAGGUAUCAUUCUCUGGUGUAAUGCAUUCUGGGGCCUAUUCACAAGAUGACAUUCCCAAAAAUCUUGUCCGGACCCUUAGUCAAGGAUCUAAUGUUAUGAGCAUGGAUUUUCAUCCUCAGCAACAAACCAUACUGCUAGUUGGGACAAAUGUUGGUGACAUUAGCCUUUGGGAAGUUGGGUCGCGGGAGAGGAUGGUACAUAAACCCUUCAAUGUUUGGGAUAUACAAUCUGCUUCGAUGCCAUUGCAGUCAGCUUUGUUAAGUGAUGCUGGAAUAUCAGUGAAUCGUUGUGUUUGGGGGUCAGAUGGGCUCAUGCUUGGUGUUGCAUUUUCAAAGCACAUUGUCCAGAUAUAUACUUACAAUACAACUGGGGAACUCCGUCAACAUUUGGAGAUUGAUGCUCAUGUGGGUGGAGUUAAUGACAUUGCCUUUGCCCAUCCCAACAAGCAACAUUGCAUUGUUACGUGUGGAGAUGAUAAAAUGAUCAAGGUAUGGGAUGCUGUAUCUGGACGUAGACUCUAUAUAUUUGAAGGUCAUGAAGCUCCAGUAUAUUCUGUUUGUCCUCAUUACAAAGAAAAUAUUCAGUUCAUAUUUUCAAUUGCUAUUGAUGAGAAAAUUAAAGCUUGGCUUUAUGAUUGCUUGGGAUCAAGAGUGGAUUAUGAUGCUCCUGGACUAUGGUGCACUAUGAUGGCAUAUAGUGCAGAUGGAACUAGGCUCUUCUCAUGCGGAACAAGUAAGGAGGGUGAAUCUCAUCUUGUUGAGUGGAAUGAGAGUGAAGCAGCUAUCAAACGUACAUAUUCUGGUUUCAGGAAGAGAUCUUUAGGUGUUGUUCAGUUUGACACAACAAGAAACCGGUUUUUAGCUGCUGGUGACGAAUUUCAAAUUAAGUUCUGGGAUAUGGACAGUACCAACAUGUUGACAGCUAUCGAUGCCGAUGGGGGUUUACCUGCUAGUCCAAGAUUGAGAUUUAACAAAGAAGGGUCAUUGUUGGCAGUCACAACAAAUGACAAUGGUAUUAAGAUUUUAGCCAACAAUGAUGGGUUGCGCUUGAUAAGGAUGCUGGAGAGCAGGGCUAUGGAUAAGAAUCGAGGCCCUUCCGAGCCUAUCAAUUCUAAGAAUUUUGCAAAGAGUCUACUUGAUGUUGCAGACAAUUUGGGAUGAGCUUCUUCAGUUGUUAAAGAAAGUUUUUCAAAGAUUGACACAUCUAAGGAUUCAUCUAGGGCUGCUCCACUUUUAAAAACAUUUCUAGAGGGUGUUGAAAUGACAUAAAAACAACUUGUAGAGUGUGGUGGGAAAAAUACAUAUACACUUGGCGAAAUUAAUGAAAUUCGAAAUGAAUAGGCAACCAAGCUUCUUGAGCGGACGAGUCAUAGCUAGAGUAACUUUUGAAAUCAGAAUUAAAAAAUAUACUAAUUGUAGUUUUUAGUUAGCACUUACAUAGUUAUUCCAAGUCUAUAUUUUGAUCUUGCAAUUUUUAGAUUUUGAACAUACUGAGUUAUAUUGAUUUUGUCUGCCUAUUGAUUCUAUUUGAACUAUGUUGUAAUUACACAGGAAAUUAUGAAUGAAUAUAGUAUUGAAAAUAGAGAAAUGAAAAAAUUAUCAUAUUCUA